CCCUACAGGAUCCAGUUUCUUUAAUUGCAAGAUGAGGGUGGUAGACUAAAUUCUAGUCACUUUGUCUCUAACUUUUAAAUGAUUUCAUUGGCUAUAGAUCUUUCAUGUAUGUGUGAUCCUGUGCAAAAUCAUGUACUGAUUUCGAUGGGUAGAAGGAUAUUCGCUAGACACGUGAUACAAGUACCAAGAGGCUUACAAAUAUUUUGGAAAUGAACAAGUUCAAAUAUUUCUGUUCUAGGUUAGCAUUAGCAGGGGGGUUUCUGUGCAUGCCAAUACGUAUGAUGUGACAUAAGUGUGUCUGAAUCAAAAUACUGCUCUUUUGAGGUGGAGAAGGAAAUCUAUACUGAAUAAAGUCAAGUAGGUGACUUAGUAUUUAACUUGGACCUGGUUUUAAAAGUAGUCACAACUCAGGCAAUUAUUGAAGGUAAACAGAGUGAAAGGUUAGAUAUUUGAAAAUAGCAGGGGAAUGAUUUUCGAUAUUUAUCUCAGCUCUUCCUUCUUGAAAAGAACCGGGGGAAUCAGCGAACAGUGUGCUUUCCCUCAGCGGCCACGUUGAACUUUAAACUUGUGUUUUGUUGUGUCUGCUAUUGAUCAAUGGGGGCAGGAAGAUUUAUGGGUGCUCGGCUGGGAGCAGCACCGGCCAGAGAUGCAGGCAAAAAUCCCUCCGUGACUCACUUGUGGGGGCUGCCCUUCCGGAGCCAGGAAUAUCCGUCAAUAAAUAGCAAGGCGGGGGGUCAGAGACGCCUCCGAGGAGCCACAUCAGCUUCGGCCCAUCCCACGAAGGGUGGGGAUCCGGCUGCCAGGGGCCCUCUGAGGGCUGAAGAUCUGUCCCCAAGGAAUGAGAUCAACACUGACUGAAAUUUGCUCAAGAUCACUUUCCUUCAGAGAAGCUUACCUGUCGAUUUCACCCCACACUUUGGAGCAACCAAGAACAAUUAUGCACUAUAGUUAUAAUAAAGUCUGGUCACCUCAAA